rnacentral:lncRNA from 1 species
GUUCAUCUAUUUUCUUUUUCACCACCAUCUCAUCUCAAACUCACCCUCUUUGAGAUAGAAAGACCACCAUCAUGGUGACAACAUCGUGGUUCUCUCUUUCUGCCUUUGCUCUUAAUCACUACCAUGAUCCACCGUGAAUCACCAUUUAUAGACAUAAUUAUUGUGAAACCACGACUAUGACCAUCACCACCAGUUCUUCUCCAC